rnacentral:rRNA from 1 species
GAUGAACGCUGGCGGCGUGCCUAAUACAUGCAAGUCGAGCGAACGGACGAGAAGCUUGCUUCUCUGAUGUUAGCGGCGGACGGGUGAGUAACACGUGGAUAACCUACCUAUAAGACUGGGAUAACUUCGGGAAACCGGAGCUAAUACCGGAUAAUAUUUUGAACCGCAUGGUUCAAAAGUGAAAGACGGUCUUGCUGUCACUUAUAGAUGGAUCCGCGCUGCAUUAGCUAGUUGGUAAGGUAACGGCUUACCAAGGCAACGAUGCAUAGCCGACCUGAGAGGGUGAUCGGCCACACUGGAACUGAGACACGGUCCAGACUCCUACGGGAGGCAGCAGUAGGGAAUCUUCCGCAAUGGGCGAAAGCCUGACGGAGCAACGCCGCGUGAGUGAUGAAGGUCUUCGGAUCGUAAAACACUGUUAUUAGGGAAGAACAUAUGUGUAAGUAACUGUGCACAUCUUGACGGUACCUAAUCAGAAAGCCACGGCUAACUACGU